rnacentral:rRNA from 1 species
UACGGGGGGGGCAAGCGUUGUUCGGAAUUACUGGGCGUAAAGGGUGCGUAGGCGGCUUUCUAAGUCGGAUGUGAAAACUCUGGGCUCAACCCAGAGCCUGCAUCCGAAACUGGAGAGCUAGGGUUCUGGAGGGGAAAGCGGAAUUCCUGGUGUAGCGGUGAAAUGCGUAGAUAUCAGGAGGAACACCGGUGGCGAAGGCGGCUUUCUGGACAGGUACCGACGCUGAGGCACGAAGGCUAGGGGAGCAAACAGG